UUUUAAAGCGCUCUGAAAAAAGUUUUGACUUUUUAAUUUUUUUUACUAUGACAGAAUCUUAGUUGACUGAUGGUCUUUGACAAAGACAGACUUGUUUUUGUGAGCUCUGAACAAAAUUUGACUUUGAAAUAUUUUUACGAUUAAAAAGUUUCAGUUGACUUUUGAACGUUGACGAAGACGGACGUACUUUCGUGAGCUCUGACUAUUGAUGAAAAGUUUUCGCGUUAUAGAAUAGCGACUUGGUACUCAGGUUGUUGAAUGACUGGAUGACUGUAGUGUUAGGUUAUUGUUAUGAGAUAACAACUUGACUUUGACUUGAGUUGUGAAAUGAAAUCAUACUCUUAUGCGAUGAUAACUUUUGAACGUUUAGUACUGACUGACAACGAAUUUUUGUGAGCGUUAUAAUAUGAAAUGUUUGACUUACAUUAAUUUUUUUGAACGACUUGACUUCACUUUAAGUUUUGACAUCGGACUGAUCGGACGUGUUUUUUUAAGCCCUGACUGUUGUGAAUAAUUAAAUUUAUGUUGUGGUGUCAAGCGAUUGACUGUCAGUUGAGGUUCAGAUGUCGAGCUGUGCGGACGUGUUCAUCGAGCUGCUGUCUACAAAAAACGUGAGUACAAAUUUUUUUCGUUUUACUGUUUACAAGUUGCGUGAUGAUGUAUGAUGGUUGUAAUGUGUUGGGUAGAAAUUACUCAGUGCUGUUGUAAUGUGUUGGGUAGAAAUUACUCAGUGCUGAUACAGUGUCGAUAUGUUGUGAUGAGCGAUAAUAGUGGAUGAUGGUGGAACAGAAUAUUCAUUGAGCUAUUUUGAGGAAGCGAACAUAUGAUGGAAAAAUGUUGCAAAAAUAUUAAAUGACAAUGUAUUGAAUCGCUUUUGUUGAUAUGUAUGAUAUUGAUUAAAUUGUAUUUGCAUGCUGUAACAUUUCUAUUCCAUUUCAGGGGGCUGUGGUGAGUAUUGUAGUAUAAAUUUGUUUCAAUAAAUCAUGAUGAAUGAAAACUGAUUUCGAUUCGUUUUGUACAGGUUUACUUGUAUAGAAGUGUAAUGCGUUGGGUAGAAAUUAGAAUCUACUCAGUACUGAUAUAGUGUCGAUAUGUUGUGAUUAGCGAUGAUGGUGUAUGAUGGUGGAACAGAACAUGAGCUACUUUGGGGAAACGAACAUAUGAUUGAAAAAUGAUUGCAAACAUAGUAGAUGAAUGAUAUGAUAUUGCUUAAAUUGUAUUUGCAUGCUGUAACAUUUCUAUUCCAUUUCAGUGCACUGUGGUGAGUAUUGACUAUUGUAGUAUAAAUUUGUUUCAAUAAACGAUGAUGAAUGAAAACUGAUUUCGAUUCGUUUUGUGUAAUUUUAGGGAUUUUCACUCUAUAACAACUCUGUCGGUUGGUGUUCAUGAGUGCGAGCUUAAUACAGCAAUGUUUGAGUAGUACAAAAUUGUUUUCGCUUUUGUGGUCGCCAGCUGUCCGUGAUCUGUAAAGUGAAAAUACACAGAGCUAUGAAGCAUAAAAAUGUUUCGAAAUUUUAUCAAUGAUUGUAUACUAUGCAUGUUUUGAUUUAGUUCGUUUCAGAUUUGACAUGAGAUGAAAACCUGACAUGAUUUGAACAGAGCUGGGAAACGAAAAGAUUUUCAGAUGUGUGCUGGCAGUUCAAGUCUGGCAGCUGGAGUGAACAGUCGUGUUUUCUGGAGCUCCAACAAUAUGCUAGAAGGUAAGUAACUAUGUUUGUUUUGCAUUGCAUGUUUUAUAUGUUUCAGACUUUCAAGCAGAGAUGUCAUGCUGACUGGAGUUGAGCACAGGGCAGUGACAAAGUGAAAGGUAAGUACUUUUGACUGAAUGUUUGUUCUAUGCAUGUUUUGUUUUAAUACAUUUCAGGAGUGCUUAUCCAGUGAUGAUAUGACAGUUGGAGUGAACAGUGGAGCCAAGCAGUCUUGUUUUUGGAGCUACUCAACAAGCCUUGAAGGUAAGUUUAGAAUUUCUCAAUGUUAGUGAAUUGAAGUACUGUCACUUGCUUUUGGACAGUCGAACAGAACAGACGUGGUUGCGAGAGCUCUCAUAUCUGUUGUGUUAAACUGUUUUUAUGAUAUGUUAUGUUUGUUUGUUUGUUUGUGAUGUACUAUUUUUCAGAUGCUGAUGGCAGUGAUGGGUUUUCAAGCUGACCUGAACAGAAAAGCACUCAUAUGGUAAGUACAAAAUAGUUGUUAUAUGGGAUGUUUUGUGCAUGCUUUUAUGUUUCAGGUGUACUUGCUGACAGCGACGAAGACGAAUCAAGAAGAGGAACAUUGUUGAGAAAGUGAUUGGGACUUGCAAACAGGGUAAGUGUAACACUUGUGUUUGUUUAAUUUGUAACAUGCGUGCUUUGCUCUGUUUCAGAUUUCACAUGCAGAAAUUAAACAGGAUUUCAACUGCUGAGACACAAUUCAUCAAAAGUAAGGUAAGUUUUAAUUCAUUGAUUUGAGUUGUACAAUGUGUUCUUUACUUUAUUUCAGAUUCGAGUCACUGGUUUACACAUGGAAGAAGAUUUCCGCGUCUGUUACUCAACUCUACAGAAGCAAGGUAAGUCGAUCAAAUUUUUGUUUUCAUUUGUACUGCUGUAAUGUGAUGGUAAACUUAUGCUAUUUUUCAUGUGUGUCAUGUACAGAUGGAUAAUUCAAGUUUGAUCUGUGUUGGUUUAUGUUCAAAAACGUUUUACAUGUAUGUGUGUUUGAAGAUGUUUUGUUUCAGUGGAUGUCCAGAUGGCAAGCAGUACAGACGUGUUUCUUGGAGCUGCCAAACAGUGAGUACAAACGUUUUAUAUUUUUCAGUUGUUUACUCAUAGAAGUCUGUGAAAGAUGAUAACAAGGGUUGAAUCUAUCAGUACUUGUGUCUAAAAAUGCUGAUGUGUGACGGUUUACUGAAAAGGGUAAAUGCUAGCCAGUACUAACACUUGAGCAACCGUGGGAUGUCGAACUAACUGAUGAUGUACUAUGAUGGUGAACACUUACUAUGUGUAUCGAAAUGCUUUUGUUGAUAUUUAUUAUAGAUGAUUUGAUAUUGGUUAACAUUUGUUUGCAUGCUGUUAACAUUUCUAUUUCAUUUCAGGGAGCUGUGGUGAGUAUUGUAGUAUACAUUUGUUUCAAUAAUGUUUGAGUAGUACAAAAAUGUCUUUACUUUUGUGAUCGCCAGUUGUCUGUGAUAUGUAACGUAAACAAAAAACACAGCUAUGAAGCAUACAAUUGUUUCGAAAUUUUAUCAAUGAUUGUAUACUAUGCAUGUUUUGAUUUAGUUCGUUUCAGAUAUGACAUGACAUGAAGAGUUGACAGUCGAACAGAGCUGAGCAACGCAAAAAGGUAAGUGUGUUUCAUUUUAGUAUGAACACUUGUAUUUUGUUUUUAUAUGGUAUGUUUUGUACAUGCUAUGUUUCAGGUGUACUUGUAGUCAGCGACGAAGACGAUUCAAGAAGAGGAACAUUGCUGAGAAAGUGAAUGGGACUUGCAAACAGGGUAAGUGUUACAAUUGUUUGUUUGAUUUUUACCAUGCAUACUUUGCUUUGCUCUGUUUCAGAUUUCACAUGCAGAAAUGGUCUCAUAGCAGUGCCAACAGUGAAUAAGGAUUUCAGCUGCUGUGAAACAACUCAACAGAAAGUAGGUAAGCAUUGAAUGAAUGCACUUGAGUUGUACAAUUUGAUGUGAUGCUUUUCUCUGUUUCAGAUUCAAGUUCCUGGUGUAGACAGAGAAAUGUGUUUGAAGAAGGAAUUCUACUACUGUGAUUCAACUCUACAGAAGCAAGGUAAGUAGAAACAAAAUUUUGGUUUAAUUUAACUCAUGUGUUUUGCACUGCAUGCUAUUUUUCAGGUCUCUCAUGCAGUGAUGGAAAAAAAGAAGAUUUCAAGAAAGAAUCACUGCUGCAACUCAGGCCUAUAACAAGGUAAGUGUUUACUAUAUUGUAUACAAAAUGUUUCUCUGUUUUACUCUGUUUCAGGUUUCAAUUGCAGAGAUGUUGCAGAGAUGUUUUGACAGCUUGUGGCAGAAAAGAAAUUCAGCAUCUGUUUCUCGACUCUAGCCACGAGGUAAGUCAAAACAAAUAUACUGGUUUGUAUGUAAUGUUGUUAUGCCCUUCUAUGUUUCAGACUUACAUUGCUGUGACUGUUCCACAGUGGGUCAAAAAAGAGACGAAUACAGGUUUCAAGAAGAAAAUUGGCUGUUAAAAACCUGCACAAAAUAUGAGGUAAGUAAACUACUCUUUUGGUUUGUUUUGUGCUUUGUUAUGCUUAACUAUUUUUCAGAUUGGAAUGGUGGGUCGUUACAGAGCAGACUUUCGGACUACUGAGAAGUUGAGAAACAGAGAAUGAUUCAAGAUCAGCUAGGUAAGUCUUGAUUAUUAUGCAUUGCUAAAUGUUUUUUUCAUUCCAGUAUGGCUGUGGUAAGUACACAAACUUUCUAUAAUUUAAUAUUGAACUGUUUUUAUGACCUGUAUUCUGCAUUGUAAAAUGUCUGUUUUUCAUUUCAGUAUCCUGUGGUAAGUACACUAACUUUGUAUAAUUUCAUAUUGAAAUGUUUUGAUGACUUGUAUCCUGCUAUGCAAUGCUUAAUAUAUUUUUCAUUUCAGUGUGGCUGUGGUACGUACACUAACUUUCUUUUCUUUUUCAUAUUGAACUGUUUUGGUGACUUGUAUUCUGCUAUACAAAAUGUGUUUUUUUCAUUUCAGUUGCCUGUGGUAAGUACAAUUGCCUUCUUUAAUUUUCAUAUUGAACUGUUUUGAUGACUUGUAUACUGCAUUGUAAAAUGUGUUUCUUUUUCAUUUCAGUAUGGCUGUGGUAAGUACAAUUGCCUUCUUUAAUUUUCAUAUUGAACUGUUUUGAUGACUUUUAUUCUGCCAUACAAAAUGUGUUUUUUUUCAUUUCAGUUGCCUGUUGGUAAGUACAAUUUGCUUUCUUUAAUUGCAUAUUGAAAUAUGUUUUAUGACUUUUAUUCUGCUAUGCUUUUUUCAUUUCAGUUUGGCAGAUGUAAGUACACUUCAUUUAUGUAAAAACUGAAUAUGAUUGUUGUGCUAUACAAAAUGUGCUUUUCUCAAUUUCGGGUCAGCAAUGGUAAGUAGAUUGUGUUUCUUUAUGUAUAAUUUUGUAUACAUAUUGUUUUUUUCAUCAUAGCAUGUUUUUCAUAUUUAUGCUUUGUGUAAGUAAAAUGUUCAUAAAUCAUUCUUAUCUUAAAACUAAAAAUGUAUUGUGCUAUGCAAAAUGUCUGUAUGAUUUCAGUUGCCAGAGGUGAGUACCAUUACAGUUGAAAAGUUAGUUUUGUUUAGUUCAAGUUUUGGUUCACAGUUCUGUUUGUUAUUUGGCAAAAUUUACAUGUAUGCAUUGAGUCUUGAUUUCAGCUCGAUUGUGGACUGAAGAAGAUUGUCCGCAGAGGGAUUGGAUACAAAAUACAAAGUAAGUACUGAGUUUCUUACUAAAAGUUUUGAGUUGUAUUCAUUGUGUGUUAAUAUGCUAUGAUUGCUAUGAACAUGACUUUUGUAUUUCAGCGAAGACAACAUAGGUAAGUAAAAUUGUUAUCUGUUUCAUGUUUACUGUUACAGUUCAAUAUUGUGUUUAUAAAUUGUAAGUUGUACAAACACAUUCAAAAGUUUCUGAUCAUGCUUUCGAUUUCAUUUCAGCUUUACUGCUGGACGAGUGUUCUCUACUACUAGACGUGUCAGGUUUACUACCAGGCGAGCAGUGACAACAAGGCGCCUUUGUGGAAACAGCAAAACAAACAACUCUACUGCAAGACGAGCAGUAACAGCAAGGCGCCUGAACAUGCAACACAAUACAAAAAAUGCCAAUUUGCAAACCUUGAUGUGGACACCGAGUAGUCAAUACAUACGUGUGGCGUAUAGCUGCGACAAAACCGUGGGUCCAUCGCACCGAUAACUUGAACAUUGGCCCGUGUAUGGACAUCAGUGCAACUUUGUGAAUCCAUGUAACUUUGUGAAUCCAUGUAACAUUGCGAAUGUGUGUCGAUCGAAAAAUGUGUACAUUCUGCACUGAAACGAACUCGGUGUUGCAAGUGGCAAGUGUUGACAGUGUGUAUGUUUAUGUUUAUGUUUUUACAUGAAAAAUAAAGGAGAUUGUUGUUUUA